rnacentral:rRNA from 1 species
AACGAACGCUGGCGGCAUGCCUAACACAUGCAAGUCGAACGAGACCUUCGGGUCUAGUGGCGCACGGGUGCGUAACGCGUGGGAAUCUGCCCUUGGGUUCGGAAUAACAGUUAGAAAUGACUGCUAAUACCGGAUAAUGUCUUCGGACCAAAGAUUUAUCGCCCAGGGAUGAGCCCGCGUAGGAUUAGCUAGUUGGUGAGGUAAAGGCUCACCAAGGCGACGAUCCUUAGCUGGUCUGAGAGGAUGAUCAGCCACACUGGGACUGAGACACGGCCCAGACUCCUACGGGAGGCAGCAGUGGGGAAUAUUGGACAAUGGGCGAAAGCCUGAUCCAGCAGUGCCGCGUGAGUGAUGAAGGCCUUAGGGUUGUAAAGCUCUUUUACCCGGGAUGAUAAUGACAGUACCGGGAGAAUAAGCCCCCGGCUAACUCCGUGCCAGCAGCCGCGGUAAU